AAAAAUCCGGUUCAAAGAUGGAAACUAUGAAUCGAUUGGUCUGGUUCGGUCCAAUGAAGCAAACUAGUUCAAGCGAAAAAAGAGGACACCGGUUUGGCUUAGGCAAAAAAAAAAGGAAACUUGAGCCAGUUUAGGGUAGAGGCCUCACUCAAUUAUAAUCGGUUCGGUUCAAACAAUUAAAAGGAAAAUGAGGUUCAAAAAUAAAAAUGUAUAAAGCAAUUGGUCUAGUUCAGCCCAAUGAAGCAAUUCGACUCAGUCUGGUUUAAGUAAAGACAGAGGAAAACAAUGUUUGGUUCAAGCGAAGAAAGAUAAUAUUAUUUGGAGCACUUGAGCGGGUUCAAGGUGGCACUCAUACUUAACAACUCGGUUCGGUUCAAGUAAAAGAAAAGAAAUCGUGGAGCCCACCACCAACAACAUUGAAGAGAAUGUUGCAAUGUGGCAAGAUUUUGGAGAAAUAAUAAAUAGUAAUAGAUAAUAGAUGUUUUUAAUUAA
rnacentral:lncRNA from 1 species